CGGCUCAUUAAAUCGGUUACGACUCCGCCGGGGACAGAACACCCUAGUGGAUAACGUGCGGUAACUCCGGUGCUAAUACAUGCAACGAGGCUCCGACUCGGCGCGUUUCGGCGCGUCGGGGAAGGGCGCACUUAUUAGGCGAAAACCAGUCGGGCGGCCGUUCGCGGUCGCCCGCCGGUGGACGACACCCGAGUAAUUGCCGCCGAUCGCACGGCCUCGAGCCGGCGACGCCAUCGACGAGUUUCCGAUCUAUCAUGCUGACGACGGUUGGCGCUGUGCCAACCGUGGCGUUGACGGAUAACAGAGAAUCUGGGUUCGAUUCUGGAGAGGCCGCCUGAGAAACGGCGACCACUUCUAAGGAAGGCAGCAGGCACGCAAAUUACCCACUUCGGACACCGAGAGGUAGUGACGAACAAUACCGAUGCGGCGCGCUCACGCGUCGCCGUAAUCGGAAUGAGUACACUUCAAAUCCUUUAACGAGGAUCCACUGGAGGGCAAGCCUGGUGCCAGCAGCCGCGGUAAUUCCAGCUCCAGCAGCGUAUAUUUAUAUUGCUGCGUUUAAAAAGCUCGUAGUUGAAGCGUCAGACACGGAGGGGCGGACGGCCGCACUGGUCGCGCUCGUCCCUCCGGGCCAGGCGCGGAGGGCGUCCGUCGCUUGCACUUCACCGUGUGAGCGCGGCGCCGCCGCUCGUUCACCUUGAGGAAAUUGAACCGCUCAAAGGAGGCGAGCAGCUCGAACAGCUCAGCAUGGUAUGAUGCAAGACGGGCUCGUACUCGUUUUGCUGGUUUUAGAGUCGGCGAGCCAAUGAUUAAUAGGGACUGCCGGGGGCAUUCGUACUCGGACGGGAGAGGUGAAAUUCAAGGAUCGUCUGAAGACGCCCGACUGCGAAAGCAUUUGCCAAGAAUGUUUUCAUUAAUCAAGAACGAAAGU
rnacentral:rRNA from 1 species